rnacentral:lncRNA from 1 species
AAUUUACCUCCAUUGUUUGCUGUGAUAGUUACUCCUCUGUGGAGUUCCUGAAACAAGGGUGAGUGAUAGCAGGCAACACUGGGGCUAUUGUUAACCUACAAUUCGGAGUAGCUUGGCCUUAAUCUAGCUCUGUUGGUCACCAAGAAGAUCCCCACCUCAAUUUUAUCUCGAAUCCAGAGGUAAACAAGUUGACUGACUGGUGACAGCCACCUCUCAUUUGACCAGGGUUUAAUAGGAUUAAAUUUAUUGAUUGACACUAACCCUGGCCAGUGUUUUGGAGCAGUCCUCCCUGAGAUCCAGGUACCUAGUGAGGUGGCCUCAUCUCCAACCCAGAAUAUGCUUUACUGGUGGUUGCCACAGUCAGUGAAUUUACCUCCAUCUGUACCAGAUAAACAGGGAAAUCUCUGCAUCAGCCUCAUUUAGUUAAAGCAUUCUUUCUUCCGAGUAUAGUGUAAUUUGUUUUACAUUUUCUUAGCCGUAAUCAUGUACCUGUUAAGCUUUCAUGUGAUUAUACCAAAUGUCCUUGAUGGAAUUUGUGAAGGACCCUUACUUCCUGUUUGUACUUACAUUCCUGGAAAAGCACCUAACUAGAGUGGGUGAGUAUUCAUACACUUCAAAGCCCGUGAUGUAAUCAGAUUUCAUUUUUUUAAGAAAAAGAACUUGAGAGGAUGGAUUCAAAAGAGGGCUGAGUCCAAAAGGUGAGAGACCAAUGUAGAGAGCAGUGGGGACAAACAGGAGGUGACUGUCCCUGGAGAGAAGCUAUGUCAGAGUCAAGGAUCAGAGCUGGCAGGGAGUGUGCAGAACACUGCUGGAUCACCAAAGCUCUUGCAAAAAGUUGCAGCAGUAGCUCAGCCAGGGAAAUUCAGACUGGCCAGUCUCUGAGAGCAAAUAUGACUGAUGGACAGUCAGCCCCUCUCUCCCUGCAAGAAAACCUCACGUCCAAUCUCUGGGAUGUUAGAGCAUUAUAUCCUUCUGAAUGCAAGCUGACUCCUGACAUAAAAACCAGAGCCCAGGGAUGUAGUGCUCUGUACAUAAACAUUGGACAUCCUGUCUGGAUUGUGCUUCUCUGA